AAGGUUUGAACUCCACUCUCUUCUAUUUAAGCAAUUCCACAAAGCUUAAAAAGGAACAAAAUUGUGCAUACUAUGACUUAUCGCUGUUGUGUUCUAAUCAGGCAUUAUUACCUUGGAGGAACUGACAGCAGUUUUGCCAUUUGGAGGAACUUUCGACUUGCUGCAGAUCAAAGGUUCUACUCUAAGACAAGCAUUUGAGCACAGUGUUCACCGACAUGGGCACGGAACUGGGGAAUUGCUACAGGUCUCAGGCAUAAAAGUGGUGUAUGAUCUCUCCCAAAAGCCAGGGAAAAGGGUGGUCAGCUUAAAUGUUCUUUGCACAAAGUGCAGAGUACCAACUUAUGUGCCGCUUGAGAUGGAAAAGACCUACAAAGUGCUUUUACCUUCUUUCCUUGCUGCUGGCGGUGAUGGAUACUACAUGCUAAAGGGGGACUCAA